rnacentral:lncRNA from 1 species
UCUGGAUUAUGAACCUACAUAGAGUUGAAGAAAAUUGAGAUGUUAGAAAAUACAACUUGGGCAAUAAUGAAAAUCUGGUAAUAUAUUAGUUAACACUUACAUAAUCUCUAAACCACUCUGAAAACCUUGGAUAAAUAGCAUCUUGGCCAAAUACACUCAUAAAAUAAUUGUCCGACAUAUUUAUAAAGUUUAUUAGUUAAAAUACGGAUAGAUCAUGCAAGUAGGCCAAUUAUAUAAUUUCAAACCUACUCGUAAAAUUGUUGAACUUCGGGGCAAUUGAGCAAUACAUGUGUUGUAGACGACUUUUUCUCCAUCACAAUCCAAUUUCUUUUUUGAUAUUUCUUAGAAAUUCUACCAUGUUGGUUGAAUAUAGAUAUAGGCGGUGCCAAAGGAUCAUUGUCACCGUCAUCGCCAUGCCGAUUUGGCCUAUUUCUCAAACAUGGCACGUGAUGCUCCAAAUAAUAUGAACAGAAAUGAGAAGUUUCUUUAACCAAAUAUGCUUCACAUAUUGAUCCCUCAAUCUUGGAUUUUGUUUCACCAUCCGUUUACAUUUGCCAAUAAUCAUACAUAGCAUAAUUUUAGAUGGGAAGAAGUGUAGUCAAAACACAUAAAGCGAAAAUAAUUAAUAGUUAUUACCUCUCAAAUGGAUAUAUCCAUCUCAUUGAAUUGGCCUCCAAGUUGUGCCUCUCUUACAAGAUGAAUUGGGAGAUGUUCCAUUACAUUGAAAAAACCACAUGGAAAAUUUUUUGCCAGUUUGUUUAUGAUUAAAUGGAUGUUACUUUCCAUGAAAACUAGAUUUUCCUCCCUCAAUGUAUUAGAACAUAGGUCUUUGAAAAAUAGGCUUAUCUUUGUGAUGGGUUUCCAUAUUCUCUCAGGCAAUGAGCUAAAUGCAAUAGGAAGUAAUGAUUCCAUGAAAAUGUGACAAUCAUGGCUUUUCAUAUACAUCAGCUUUGCUUUUUCAUGUCAACACAAAUGGAUAAAUUUGAAGCAUACCCAUCGGGCAUUCUCAAAUUUUGAACCCAAUCACAGAUCUUUCGUUUGUCAUCUAUUUUGAAUGAAUAACUGGCCUUAGGCUUCACCAUCCUAUUAUUUUCUUGUCGUAGUUCUAAUUCACUUCGCCUGCAGUAUUCCUGUAAGUCCAUCCUGGCCUUCAAGUUAUCUUUUUUCCUAUUCUUAUCAUCCAUUAUAGUAUGAAACAAGUUAUCAAAGAAGUUCUUUUCAAUAUGCAUGACAACCAAGUUAUGUCGAAGAAGAUUAUGUUUCCAAUAAUGCAACUCCCAAAAUAUACUUUGUUUAAUCCAAUUAUUCACAACACCAUAACUAGGUAGUUUAAGCAAUGGAGUCUCUAUUACCUUAGGUAAAUUCUUAACCCUCUCCCUCUUGUCGGCUUAUCAUAAUCAGUUUGAUUUUUCAUAAAUGCACUAGUAUUUCUCCUGAACUCAUGAUCCAUUGGCAAAAAUCAACGGUGACAGUCAAACCAUGUGUUCUUACCUCCAUAUUUCGAAGUGAAUGCUUUUGUGACUUCCAUACAGCAAGGAUAAGCUAAAUUUCCGGCAGUCAACCAUCCGGAUAACAUUCCAUAAGCAGGAAAGUCAUUAAUAGUCCACAUCAAAGUAACACCCAAUUUAAAGUUUUGUUUAGUUGAUACAUCGUAUGUUACAACACUUUCAUCCCACAACAACUUUAGCUCAUCAAUCAAAGGCUGAAAAAAUACAUCAAUCAAACUUUUUGGAUUACUUAGACCUGGAACUAUGCCAGUUAGAAAUAAAUAUGGACUUGUCAUACACAAAUCUAAAGGAAGAUUAUACGGUGUAACAAAAAUAGGCCAACACGAAUAUGGUGCAGCAGAGACAGAAAAAGGAGUGAAUCCAUUUUCACACAAACCCAACCUAAUAUUUAUUGGUUCAUUAGCAAAAUCAGGAUACAUCCUAUCAAAAUGCUUCCACGCUUCUCCAUCUGAAGGAUGACACAAAAUACCAGGCGCCUUUUGCUUAUGUAAUUCCAUCUCAUAUGAGGAUCGGAACUCAUUGAUGCAUACAACCUCUUUAACCUAGGUAUAAUAGGUAAGUAAUGCAUCAUGUUAAUUGGAACUUUCUUCGCUUUGGCAUUUGUGACUUUCUUAAAACGAGACAAUCCAGAAAUUUUUCACGCUUCUUGAGUCGCAUCAUCUUUAUAGUAUAACAUACAACCUUUUUCACAACAAUCAAUUUUUGUUGCGGAAAGUCCUAACUUUGAAACUAACUUCCUAGCCUUAUAGUAAUCACCGGGUAAGUUAAUUUUUGGACUAACUUCAUCCAUAAGCCCAAUUAUAGCAUUCAUGGUAGCUUGAGAAAUUUUUCAAUCCGAUUUAAUAGUUAGUAAUCUAACUUCAACAGACAACUCUGAGUGUAUUGAGUCUUUAUAGAGUGGACGACAAGCCGCCUCUAGUAAUUCAUAAAAGUGCUUUGGCUCAUCAUUUGGAGACUCAUCAAUAUUUUGUUGGGAUUGAACUCCUUGGUGUAUCCUAAAAGCAUUCGACACCAUUUCAUGCAUUUGAGAAUUUUCAUAAUUAUUCUCAAAGAAUGUACUACUCUCAUAACCAGUAAGAUUCUAUAAGUCAACAUCAGUUAAAUUUCUAUAGUUCUCUCCAUGAACCGUCCACACAUAGUAAUUUUCUCUAAACCCCUUUUUAUAAAGAUAAACCUUAACAUUCUCAAGUAUCAACAACUUUAUACAAUUGUACUUAGCACAAGCACACCUAAUUUUUCAUGCAUUACGAAAUUCAAGAAGUGUUUUUGCAUAAGCAAUAAAUCCUUUAACACCUUCUACAAAUUUUUCCUUCAAUCCCCCACGAUUAGGAUAAUUUUUAUCGUACAUCCAUCUACGACCUUGUUUCAUUUAUUACACAAUAACAAGACAAAAUAAUUAAAUAAAGAAAUGGAUAAUUUAUUUUAUUCAAGUUAGUUUAGAAUUAAAGUUGAAUUUACAUCUUAGAUAACGAGUUCACCUAAUUCUGUCUUGUCACAUUCAAACAUAUUGAUUUCUAUUUAUGCUAGCUAGUUAUAUACUUAUUAUAUUCAAUCAUGUAAACUUAAUCUAUAUGUUUAGACCCUAAUCACAAACAACUAUAUAUUUUUGAAAUAUAGACUAACUACAUUUUUUGAUAGAUUAGAGUGAUUAACCAUUGAAGUUAAAUAAAAAUUAAUGACAGAAUGUAUUUCUUUUUCAUUGAAUUUGUGGAAGUCGUCCACCCACCCAUCUCUAAUUCUUCUAGUCUUACAUGUCUAGGACUCCAAGUGGAGAAUUAAAUGAAAGCUAUUAUUAAUGUAGAAGAAAUUCCAAGUGAGCAGUAAGAACUUUGAAUAUUAAAGAACGUCAUACCAAGCAAUUCCUACGAUUGAAGAACGGGAAAAAAGUGACACACCUGCAAGUGCUUUCACCAAUUUGUCUUCCAAUUUCAUCAGCUCAACUUUUAACUUCCCAAGUUUUUCUGCCGCAACCAGUCAAUUAAAUCAAAUAAUCAAAUCAAUAAGAUCAAAUAGAAUUCUAUAUAAUCGCUAAGACUAAUGUUCAUGUGAAAACCCUAAGUUUAGAACACUAAAACUCCCAACUGAUGUAUUUAAUAUCUUAUAUUACUGGUGAGGAGAAAUCUAUCCUAUUUCCUUAACUUACGGACAAAUAACAGUCCCCUUUGAAGACCCAAUUUGUUUGGUAUAAAUUGAGGGGACACAGGUUUAAAAGAAAAAUAGAGACAAAGAGAGAUUGACUUACUUACUCGUCGGAGUUAAGAGAUUCCCGAAAUUGCAAGCUUGUGGGGGGUUAUUGUUGUUCAAGUUAACAGAGAAGAAAAUGGGAGAAGAAAACAAAGAAUUUUCUGAACGAGAGAAGAGGCCGUGACCUAAUUAGAACAUGAGAAAUCCUUCUUAUUAAAAAAUAAAAAAUAUAAUAAUGUUUACUUUCCUAGAGAAUGUGUGGAAUAUUA